rnacentral:rRNA from 1 species
UACGGAGGUGGCAAGCGUUGUUCGGAUUUACUGGGUGUAAAGGACAUGUAGGUGUCUUAUUAAGUCGGAUGUGAAAUCCCUUGGCUCAACCAAGGAACUGCAUUCGAUACUGAUAAGAUUGAGUACUGGAGAGGUAAGCGGAAUUCCGGAAGUAAGGGUGAAAUCUGUAGAUAUCCGGAGGAACACCAUUAGCGAAGGCGGCUUACUGGCCAGAUACUGACACUGAAAUGUGAAAGCUAGGGGAGCAAACAGGAUUAGAUACCCCCGUA